AGCUAGCGGCGGACGGUGAGUAACACGUGGGGUAACCCUGCCCAGAGAUCGGGGAUACACCUGGGAAACAGAUGCUAAUACCGGAUAAACAACAGAUGAUGCCUAUCAACUGUUUAAAAGAUGGUUCUGCUAUCACUCUUGGGGAUGGACCUGCGGUGCAUUAGCUAGUUGGUAGGGGUAACGGGCCUACCAAGGCGAUGAUGCAUAGCCCGAGUUGAGAGACUGAUCGGGCCACAUUGGGACUGAGACACGGGCCCAAACUCCUACGGGAGGCAGCAGUAGGGGAAUCUUCCACAAUGGACGCAAAGUCUGAUGGAGCAAAACGCCGCGUGAGUGAAGAAGGGUUUCGGCUCGUAAAAGCUCUGUUGUUGGUGAAGAAGGACAGGGGUAGUAACUGACCCUUUGUUUGACGGUAAUCAAUUUAGAAAGUCACGGGCUAACUACGUGCCCAGCAGCCGCGGUAAAU
rnacentral:rRNA from 1 species